UGCAAGUCGAGGGGCAGCACAGGUAGCAAUACUGGGUGGCGACCGGCAAACGGGAGCGGAACACGUACGUAACCUUCCUUUAAGUGGGAGAUAGCCCGAAGAAAUUCGGAUUAAUACCCCAUAAGAUUGUAGAGUGGCAUCACUAAGCAAUUAAAGAAUUUCGCUUAAAGAUGGGCGUGCGGCUGAUUAGGUAGUUGGUGAGGUAACGGCUCACCAAGCCAACGAUCAGUAACUGGCGUGAGAGCGCGACCAGUCACACGGGCACUGAGACACGGGCCCGACUCCUACGGGAGGCAGCAGUAAGGAAUAUUGGUCAAUGGACGCAAGUCUGAACCAGCCAUGCCGCGUGAAGGAUGAAGGUCCUCUGGAUUGUAAACUUCUUUUAUGUGGGAAGAAACCACUCUUAUCUAAGGGUGUUGACGGUACCAUAGGAAUAAGCACCGGCUAACUCCGUGCCAGCAGCCGCGGUAAUACGGAGGGUGCAAGCGUUAUCCGGAUUCACUGGGUUUAAAGGGUGCGUAGGCGGAUUAGUAAGUCCGUGGUGAAAUCUCCGAGCUUAACUCGGAAACUGCCGUGGAUACUAUUAAUCUUGAAUGUUGUGGAGGUUAGCGGAAUAUGUCAUGUAGCGGUGAAAUGCAUAGAUAUGACAUAGAACACCAAUUGCGAAGGCAGCUGGCUACACAAAUAUUGACGCUGAUGCACGAAAGCGUGGGGAUCAAACAGGAUUAGAUACCCUGGUAGUCCACGCCCUAAACGAUGAUUACUCGACAUUUGCGAUAUACAGUAAGUGUCUGAGCGAAAGCAUUAAGUAAUCCACCUGGGAAGUACGACCGCAAGGUUGAA
rnacentral:rRNA from 1 species